UGCCAGCAGCCGCGGUAAUACGGAGGGUGCAAACGUUGUUCGGAAUCACUGGGCAUAAAGCGCACGUAGGCGGUCCGCUCAGUCGGGUGUGAAAGCCCUCGGCUCAACCGGGGAAUAGCAUUCGAUACUGGCGGACUCGAGGAUGGUUGGGGUGAGUGGAACUCCUGGUGGAGCGGUGAAAUGCGUAGAUAUCAGGAGGAACACCAGUGGCGAAAGCGGCUCACUGGGCCAUCUCUGACGCUGAGGUGCGAAAGCUAGGGGAGCGAACGGGAUUAGAUA
rnacentral:rRNA from 1 species